UUUCAAAGUUCAAUCGAAAAACUAAAUUUCCGCAACUAAAAAGUGUCCAAGGCCUUCCUAAAUGGCGCAAAAGUUCCCAGAAGGUAACUGCCGAAAGUCCCACAGUCCUCCGGCGCAUCCUAUGCGCAUGCGUAUGACCUUGAGGCGCCGGAGAGGAUUAUCUCCGUCUUCACUAGAUGGCGUGCUAUGGGGACGACAGAAGUGGGGAGACCUAGCAUGGUUCGUUGGAGAGCCGCUAGGAUACGACACGUAUAGGCGAAAAAGGACCAUUGGGUGAAAAUCAUUUUCCUGCAAAUACACACAGUCAAGUAGGACACGGCGCGAGGAAGCCACAGCUGCUCAUCUAGUUCACAGCCGAUCUCCAACUGUUUGCAUUGAUGACGUCAGCCACGCAUUUGAACAUCUGCAAAGACGUGUUUUCCUAACACAUUAUGCCCAUCACUAAUGGGCAAGUACGUGUCCCAAAAAAGCCGGAAAUAGAAGAAAUUGGAUUGAAAAGACAAAAUAAUCGAGUACCUGAAAUACCCUCCUGGGGCGAUACAUGAGGGGAAGAAACAUCCAACACUUAAUACAAAUUGACAACGGUGCACUUAUUAACAAUAAAGAACAUACUACGCGGAGGCGCACGCUCUCAUCGGUGGAGGGAGAGCGUUGGCGAGCAUCGCGGUCCAGGCGCGCAACAACGCGACAGCUCAGAUACGCCGCUGCUUGUCGCACGAUGCCAAAAACAAUAAUUUGGACUUGUGGGCACCGGUCUAGUGCAUGCACAAGCUACUGCCAAUGUCGCAACAGAAACCUGAUACGUCCUCAGAUGUGCUGGUGCACAGCCUGAAGUGCACGUUCGAUGACAGACGUAUAUGGCUCACAGGGUGCCCAUCAGUAGCAGAUGUCUUCGCAAUGUAUCCUGCCUUCCAUGAUCCUAAGAUAAUAAUGUUUGAAUUCGAGCUGACGACUGGCAUCAACGUAAAGGACACAUGGCAAUUGCAAGGGUCAGCGAGACAGUUCUGGGAACAGCAAAGAAAAAGAAGCAGAUGAAAAAGUUGUAGGCAGCAUUUGA